rnacentral:rRNA from 1 species
AGAGUUUGAUCAUGGCUCAGAAUCAACGCUGGCGGCGUGCCUCAGACAUGCAAGUCGAACGCGAAAGUCUCCUUCGGGGGAUAAGUAGAGUGGCGUCCGGGUGAGUAACACGUAGGUAAUCUACCUUCGGGUGGGGAAUAACCCAGGGAAACUUGGGCUAAUACCGCAUAAUGCAGCGGCACCACAUGGUGACAGUUGUUAAAGCGGGGGAUCUUCGGAUCUCGCGCCUGAAGAGGAGCCUGCGGCAGAUUAGCUAGUUGGUAAGGUAACGGCUUACCAAGGCGACGAUCUGUAGCCGGCCUGAGAGGGCGGUCGGCCACACUGACACUGACAUACGGGUCAGACUCCUACGGGAGGCAGCAGUCGGGAAUUUUGGGCAAUGGGCGAAAGCCUGACCCAGCAACGCCGCGUGAAGGAUGAAAUCCUUCGGGAUGUAAACUUCGCAAGAAUGGGAAGAAUUAGUAGGGGUUAAUACCCUCUAUGAUGACGGUACCAUUUGUAAGCUCCGGCUAACUCCGUGCCAGCAGCCGCGGUAAUACGGGGGGAGCAAGCGUUGUUCGGAUUUACUGGGCGUAAAGGGCGCGUAGGCGGUCAGCACAAGUCAGUUGUGAAAUCUCCGGGCUUAACUCGGAAAGGUCAACUGAUACUGUGCGACUAGAGUGCAGAAGGGGCAACUGGAAUUCUCGGUGUAGCGGUGAAAUGCGUAGAUAUCGAGAGGAACACCUGCGGCGAAGGCGGGUUGCUGGGCUGACACUGACGCUGAUGCGCGAAAGCCAGGGGAGCGGACGGGAUUAGAUACCCUAGUAGUCC